rnacentral:lncRNA from 1 species
CCCUUUCUCCCGCCUCCAGGCCGUCUUCCCCGCCCCCGCGGUAACUCCGGGCUCUUUCCACCGCCCUUCGCCUGCCCCCGGCCCCGCCCCUCGGGUCCUCGGCCCUCUCCGCCGUCUCCGGGACGUGACGCGCCUCGCCGCCCCGCCCCUCCCUCUCGGAGGCCUGGGCCGCCGCGCCGCCGGCCCGCCGCCGCUCCUCCUCUCUCCUCCCCCCCCCGCCUCAGCGUCCGCUCGCAGCCGCCGCCAUUUUGUGUGCAGUCCCGAGCGCGGCGGGCGCGGGCAGCCGGCGCUGAGGGAGGGCAGGAGGGCAGGAGGGCGGGAGGGCGUCCCGCAGGGAGUCCCGGAAGGGGCCGAGCGCCUCCCAUCGCCGCCGCCUCCUUCUCGUCCUCGGCCUCGUCCCGGGCCCGCGCCCGCUCGGCGCUCCCGCCGCCCCCCGUCCCGUCCCCGCCGGCCCAGCCCCCCGCCCGGCCCCGGCCCCAGCCCCCCGCCGCCGCUCCCCGCCCGCCGCCCGCCUGCCCCGAUGAGGGCCCGGGCUUCGGGGCCGGGCGGCCUGUGAGGGGGCGCCCGCCUCCGCGGCCCCGCGGCCCGGGGCGGGGCGGGGGCGCGGGCCGCGCCGCGCCGCCAUGGAGGGCGGCUCGCCGGGCUCGCCCCCUGCCGCCGCCGCCGCCUCGGACCCGCCACCGCCGCCCUCCUCGUCCUCGCCGCCGCCGCUGUCCCCCACCGCCCAGCGUGAGCUCCAGCGCCCCGGCCUCAGCCUGCUCCCUGACGACAGGUCGGGUAACCCGGCAGUGGCGGCGGCGGCGGGGGGGAGGGGGCGGGGGCGGCCAUGAUGGGGGGAGGGGAGGGAGGCCGGGGAGGGGGGAGGAAGGAAGGAAGGGCGGGGUCGGGCUCCCGCCAGCCCGCCCGCCGCCGCUGCCGGCCAGCUCUCCCCUCCCCCUGCUCUCCCCUCCCCCUCCUGCCUCGGUCUCACUCCGGGCGCCAUGCUGCAGGCAAGGUGAGCGACCGCCCCCGGCCCCGGCCCCCCGCGGGGAGAGGGGCGCUCGGGGCCCGGGGUGGGGGAGGGGCGGGGGGCCCCGAGACCGGGGCGGCUCGGGACCACGUGGGCCUCGUGCCUGGACCACGCUGCCUAGACAGGGAUCCGCGAGCCCCACCUUGCCCUGCUCCCCGCUUCUCUCGCUGUCCUCCCCCCCCCUUUUGUCUCGUUCUCCCUCCUUCUCUGGUUCUCUUUCCGCUCCGAGGGCCUGGAUUUGGGAGAGGCCCAUUUCAGAGAGGAUCAAGUCAGGAACCCACUCCCCUCUUUUUGAAAGAAAGCAUUGGGGCCGAAUUCCUUCCCACACACUUUCUUGGGGACUAAAGUGGGGAGAUCUUGCUUUCAAACGACAGGGAGUACUCAGGGCAAAUUUAGGAUUCUUUCUCUUAGAAGAAAAAUUUCCCUUAAAUCUUUAUUUAUUUUUUAGGGAGUGGCUUGAGGAAUCCUGA